rnacentral:rRNA from 1 species
GAUGAACGCUGGCGGCGUGCCUAAUACAUGCAAGUCGAGCGAACAGACGAGGAGCUUGCUCCUCUGACGUUAGCGGCGGACGGGUGAGUAACACGUGGAUAACCUACCUAUAAGACUGGGAUAACUUCGGGAAACCGGAGCUAAUACCGGAUAAUAUAUUGAACCGCAUGGUUCAAUAGUGAAAGACGGUUUUGCUGUCACUUAUAGAUGGAUCCGCGCCGCAUUAGCUAGUUGGUAAGGUAACGGCUUACCGAGGCAACGAUGCGUAGCCGACCUGAGAGGGGGAUCGGCCACACUGGAACUGAGACACGGUCCAGACUCCUACGGGAGGCAGCAGUAGGGAAUCUUCCGCAAUGGGCGAAAGCCUGACGGAGCAACGCCGCGUGAGUGAUGAAGGUCUUCGGAUCGUAAAACUCUGUUAUUAGGGAAGAACAAAUGUGUAAGUAACUAUGCACGUCUUGACGGUACCUAAUCAGAAAGCCACGGCUAACUACGUG